CGAGUCGACCGGGCGGUCGCGUCGGCGGGCUCCGGCCCGCCGUCGAGGAACGUCCGGACUCCACAGGGCAGGGUGGUUGCUAACGGCAACCCGGGGUGACCCGCGGGACAGUGCCACAGAAAACAGACCGCCGUCUCCGGACGGGGACGGUAAGGGUGAAACGGUGGGGUAAGAGCCCACCAGCACCCCGGGUGACCGGGGUGGCUCGGUAAACCCCACCCGGAGCAAGGCCAAGAAGGGGCGUCAUCAGCUGAGACGACGACCCGCGCAGACGAUCGAGGGCGGCCCGCCCGAUGUCUGCGGGUAGGCCGCUGGAGCCUGCCGGUGACGGCAGGCCGAGAUGGAUGACCGCCGCCGGCGCGUGCCCUCGGGUCCGCGUCGCGCACAGAAUCCGGCGUACAGGUCGACUCGUCCG
rnacentral:RNase_P_RNA from 1 species